UACGUAGGGCGCGAGCGUUGUCCGGAAUUAUUGGGCGUAAAGAGCUCGUAGGCGGUUUGUCGCGUCGGUUGUGAAAACCCAAGGCUCAACCUUGGGCCUGCAAUCGAUACGGGCAGACUAGAGUACUGCAGGGGAGACUGGAAUUCCUGGUGUAGCGGUGGAAUGCGCAGAUAUCAGGAGGAACACCGGUGGCGAAGGCGGGUCACUGGGCCGCAACUGACGCUGAGGAGCGAAAGCAUGGGGAGCGAACAGG
rnacentral:rRNA from 1 species